UGUAGAUUCACACGACAGAUUCACACGACACACGUACAAUGUACAGGAUAUUCAUUGGAACAAAGAGCCUGACCGACUGUAGACGACGAUGAAACGAGUCAAACGACGACGACUGACGGGUUUGUCGCCUCUAUUGCUGAUUAAAAUCUGAAUAUAUAAUACCAGAGAUCCCCCCCUCAUGAACUGCCAAGGAAUGAGUGAGUAGUGUAAAGAAUAAAUGAAGACCUGCUGCAACAUCUCCCAUGGAAGCUGCACAGAAAUCAAAACAUCUUGAAAGGCCUUAUGCUUGAAGCUUCCCUUCAUAUUGGAAAAGCUUCAUGUAUUCUGUUGUGGAAGUUUGCCAUUGUUUCCAUUUCAAAGGCAGAUCCUUCUUUACCCAACAGUCUCUUUUAGUGUUUGGAAAAUUCCAUAUGGACUACUUGAUUAUGGAAUUGUUUGUACAGUUUCAAGGCUACUUCCUCAGAGAAAUCAUUCUAGAUUUUGGCUGGUGAUGACUAAAGAUCCAUCAAUCAUAAAGAAAUCAAGCAUAGUUGCUUUGAAGAUAAAUAACACCUUUCAAGCAUGCAGGCUUUGGAUUUGUCCCUAACCAAAAUCAAGGAUAAUUGUCUGAUGAAGAUGGUGAGCUUUGUCCUGUUGACUGUGAAAGAGAAUUUAAGAAUUAAGACUGGUAAAGAGUUCUUCAAAUCUUAGAGAAAGGCCAAUGGAACUGAUUCUUUAGUUAUGGUAUAUUUUGUUGUACUUCGUGUGAAGCUGCAAAUAUAUAGAGAGGGUCUUCUCAAAAUUAUGCAAAGGAUCUGGAGAUCAGAAGGCUACAAUAAUAUUCUUAGAGCACAAUGUCAUUGACGAGUGUGCUGAACAAUCUGUCCAGGUGGUCCCUAAGCAGAGACAGAAAGGACUGUUGCUACCAUUCUUAAGUAUACAUCUGCUGCUUCUCAAGGCAUCUAGAUCAAUCAGGUUCUAUGCUUUAACUUGCUGCAUUAACAUGGUGAUUCAGACUGGAGGUUUAUGCUAAUUCACAUGCUUGCUGUCAAUCACAAGAUUCAAAUCUUUGAUAAGUAUGGAAAUUCAUACUUGUAUGGUUUUCUUGGCGGUCAACUGGAUCAACCAAAAAUGCACGGCUCCAUUACCCUAUGAAUAUCAUACAUGUAUUAUUCACUUUACUAUUCCCAUUGUUUUCUUUUUAUGAUGGUCUUGCUUGUACUAUUACUGAGAAGGACAUUAUAAACACACAAACCAAUUAUUGCGACUAACAUUUAUAAUUGCUUGUACCUUUCUGAGAAAGGCAUCACCAUCUUCUUACCUGAACAGUACAAAUCUUUCUAUGACAA